GAUGAAGCUGCGGUCCAUUAGGUAGUUGGGCGGGGGAGAAACCCCACCAAGCCGACGAUGGAUAGCCGGCCUGAGAGGGUGUACGGCCACACUGGAACUGAGACACGGUCCAGACACCUACGGGAGGCAGCAGCUAAGAAUCUUCCGCAAUGGGGGAAACCCUGACGGAGCGACGCCGCGUGGAUGAUGAAGGCCGUAAGGUUGUAAAAUCCUUUUGUUGGCGAAGAAUAACCAGGAGAGUGGAAAGCUCUUGGGAUGACGUUAGCCGACGAAUAAGCCCCGGCCAAUUACGUGCCAGCAGCCGCGGUAAUACGUAUGGGGCAAGCGUUGUUCGGAGUUAUUGGGCGUAAAGGGCGUGUAGGCGGCUCAUCAAGUCUGGUGUGAAAACGCAAGGCUUAACCUUGCGUAGGCGCUGGAAACUGGUGGGCUUGAGUUCCUGAGGGGAAGCUGGAAUUCCAGGUGUAGGGGUGAAGUCUGUAGAUAUCUGGAAGAACACCGGUGGCGAAGGCGAGCUUCUAUCAGAGGACUGACGCUGAGGCGCGAAAGCGUGGGGAGCAAACAGGAUUAGAU
rnacentral:rRNA from 1 species